rnacentral:rRNA from 1 species
GAGCGAACGCGGAGAAGCCCAAACCAGAGAGCUUGCUCUUUGGGGUUGUGGGACAUCUCACAUGGAGUUACAAAGGAACCGGUUAAACGAAGAGGUCUGGAAAGGCCCGCCAAAGAAGGUAAAAGCCCUGUAGUUGAAAGUCUGUUCUCUCCGAGAUGUAUCCCGAGUAGUGCGGGGCACGUGAAACCCCGUAUGAAUCCGGCAGGACCAUCUGCCAAGGCUAAAUACUUCCUAGCGACCGAUAGUGAAGCAGUACCGUGAGGGAAAGGUGAAAAGCACCCCGG